rnacentral:rRNA from 1 species
GGGCGCAAGCCUGAUGCAGCCAUGCCGCGUGUAUGAAGAAGGCCUUCGGGUUGUAAAGUACUUUCAGUCGUGAGGAAGGCAUUAACGUUAAUAGCGUUAGUGUUUGACGUUAGCGACAGAAGAAGCACCGGCUAACUCCGUGCCAGCAGCCGCGGUAAUACGGAGGGUGCGAGCGUUAAUCGGAAUUACUGGGCGUAAAGCGCAUGCAGGUGGUUUGUUAAGUCAGAUGUGAAAGCCCGGGGCUCAACCUCGGAACCGCAUUUGAAACUGGCAGGCUAGAGUACUGUAGAGGGGGGUAGAAUUUCAGGUGUAGCGGUGAAAUGCGUAGAGAUCUGAAGGAAUACCAGUGGCGAAGGCGGCCCCCUGGACAGAUACUGACACUCAGAUGCGAAAGCGUGGGGAGCAAACAGGAUUAGAUACCCUGGUAGUCCACGCCGUAAACGAUGUCUACUUGGAGGUUGUGGCCUUGAGCCGUGGCUUUCGGAGCUAACGCGUUAAGUAGACCGCCUGGGGAGUACGGUCGCAAGAUUAAAACUCAAAUGAAUUGACGGGGGCCCGCACAAGCGGUGGAGCAUGUGGUUUAAUUCGAUGCAACGCGAAGAACCUUACCUACUCUUGACAUCCAGAGAACUUUUCAGAGAUGAAUUGGUGCCUUCGGGAACUCUGAGACA